UGGCGGCCCAGGCCUACUUAAAGGCUGGGAGGGGCUUGCCCAGGGAGAAAAGCCAUUGUAACAAGGUCCUGAAUAAACUGCUUGCAAGAAGAGCUCCAGUGUUGCGUCUUCCUUGCUGAUUGAGGUGGUCGCGACAAGUGGUGGUCCGUAUGGGGAAGCUUCCACUCUCUCUCUCUCUGUGGAGCUCAGAACUUGUUGCAGUCAGGGGGUGAACCGGAUCAUUUGGACCCUAUUUGGGUACCAGAGCGCUUGGUGAGAAAAGUACAAGUGCAGAGGAACGACAAGCAAGAUGAAGCCUCCAACUGUGAUUCUAUUGAUGAUGAUGGUCCUGAUGUCCCCGUUGCUGAUCCGGGCCAAUGAACAAAUCUUGUGGGCCAUAGCAAAAGCAUGGCCAAUUCCUAUACCUGUUCAUUCUACGUCAAAAGUUCUACCUGUCUUUUAUUCCACUAGUUGUGAAUUAGGCUUACCCUGGAUUGGCUGAGAAUUUUACAAAGAAUGGUAACCUGAGCCGGCAACUGAGUGCAUACCUGCAGGGAAACUGGAGCAAGGAGUUUGAGAACCUGACGGACACCUUGACCAACCAGAUUAUUUCCCUGAAUGCCACACGGCUGGAAUAACCUACUGCUAAUGCUUUUCUUAAUAUGCUGAAACGAACUUUUAGUUACUUUUAGGAGUGGGCGGGAAUAGGAGCCCUGACAGGCCUAAUGGCACUUGCCUCCCUGGUAUGUCUGUGGUGCAUUUGUCGCAUGAGAGCCUCACAACGUCGCAAUGCAGCCAUGAUCAUUCAAGCCUUCAUGGCUAUUGAAACAGGACAGUCCCCUCAAGCUUGGUUAACUACUUUAAAAGAUAUAUGAGCACAGGAUGCGAGGCUUGCGCACUGCACUUGAGGGUAAUUACAUUUACCUCAAGAAGAGCAAGUCUGAUUGUACGUGGGUCGGUGCCUAUGUCCCACCUCUGUAAAAAGGGCACCAAGUGGGUCUAGUGUUUUCUGGGUGGAGGACACCUGGAUAAACAAUAGUACAUGCUUCAGUUCUAACAGAGAUCAGACCUCUUGCUUGCUGCUUUGCAAAACAAAAAGGGGGAGCUGUGGAGAGCUGCGUGGAGCCGCACCUUAAAGAUGGUGCUGGCUUCCACCUCCCGCUAUCCCGAAAGCGAGUGCUCUCUGUGGUAGACAAUACCAUAUUUGGCUAAGGCCAGGCUCAUGCGUUAAUCACACGAUGAUCAUAAGCUGCUUAUGUAUAAGUGGACCUAUGGACAGUGCCCAUGUGGCAAUCCAGGAUUGGUGGCCCAGCCCUACUUAAAGGCUCGGAGGGGCUUGCCCUGGGAGAGAAGCCAUUGUAACAAGGUCCUGAAUUAACUGCUUGCAAGAAGAGCUCCGGUGUUGGGUCUUCCUUGCUGGUCGAGUGGUCGCAACAAUCUAGUUCAAAUUAUUUACAACAAACAAUAUCUGCAAAGCAAGUAUGUAUGCUGAUGUAUUUUGUAUACUUUGUUAAUCCCCAAAGGAAAAAAUCCAUAAUGAGUUUCUCAUUUUCCAGUUUCUGUGGUAAAUACCUUGACAUGCAACUUGAGGGAGAAAGGGUUUGUUUCGUUCAUUGUUCCAGGUGAUAGUUUGUUACAGCAGGGAAGCCCACGGCUGCAGGAGCAUGCUCCCAUGCAGGAGACUGGUCACCUCACUGCACAGUCAACAGUAGAAAGCAAUGCUUCAGCUCUUCUCCUGUCCUUUAAUUUAUGCAGGAAAGGAUUCCAAAUCAGGGAGGAUGCUGCUCACUUUUAGGCUGUGUCUUCUACCUCCGAGGAUUAAUUAAUAUAGUCCUUCAGAGAGAUUCUGGGAGGUUAGUCUCUAUCUAGACCAUCUGGCAUGGGUGUGCCCUCAGGCUAGAGAACUAUCACAGAAAGAAAGCAGGAGCUUUACAGUUCACCAUCAGCCCUGCAUGAAAGUCAGUGCUUGUUUACAAAUUUCUAAAAAUCAACAACACAAGAAAGAAAUUUCUUCAAUCCAGUGAAGGAUGCCCACAAAUAUUAUAAAUACUUUUGAUGUAUGGCUGGAAACAAGGCUCUAGGAUUUUUUAUGCAAUGUUUAUG